UCCCUAAUAGAAGGAAAUGGACCACCACAUAUGAUUAAUUGGGGAAAAGUGUCUCUUCCAAGGAAGCAUGAAAUUCCUCUAGGAACUAGAGCGUUCACACAUGGGAUUCUUUCCAGCUUCACGUCAGGCCAAUCUCUGAACUGUUGGCUCUUCUAUAAAGGCAGAGCUGCUACAGCAAGAUCCAAUGCCAUUAUCAAGAACCGCAUCAUUAGACCGUCUGGUGGCUCUAACUCCAAGAUAAACAGUUACUUCUGUCAGCCACAGCAUUCCACAAAGCCCAGCGAUCACAACUGGGCAGUUGAAGACACAGUUCAAGUGUACAGUCCUCCAUGACUGAGAAGUUCAAGUGUACAGUCCAUCAUGACUGAGAAGUUCAAGUGGACAGUCCACCAUGACUGAGAAGUAAAGGUGGUGCCCUAGAUACCAGUACACCAGAAUGGAUCAGCCUGCCAUUGCUCCAACCCCCUCAUGGCCAAAGACUGUCAGACACCCUUCACUCUCCAAUGACCUCUGUGGAAUUCAUUGAACCUAAGCUGCAGAUCUGAAAACUUAACUCAUUCAAAGGAAACCAAAAGGUCUCCAUUUCCUCAGAGCAGCCAGAAUGGUUCUUUAGUUUGUUUGUUUGCUGAGGAUCGCAUGACCCUCCAAGGAGAACGUGUAAGACUCAGGAGACUCGUUGAUUUUUCAGUGUUGAAAACAAAUGACAUGAUAACUGGACAGGCUUGGAUCCAGAGGGGGCAACAACAAACAAAAUCAAGAGGUACUUCAACAGUACUGUUGAAGUUUGAAAAAUCCAUUACCAAGUCGUGGAAAGAAAAUAACUCGAGGAAAUAUCAUCUAAGGUCGACCGUUUCCAAUCACUGGUACUCCAUCCAUUAUAUGCUCGAGUGGUUCCAGGAACAACAGAAGACCAUACACUGCUUCAAUGCCAAGGACAAGAAAGGCAACCCAGCCUGUCGGCCUGACUUCCCCUCACUCAACCCCAACACUUCAGGCUUCGCUUCCCUGCCCAGAUGAGUUAGACAUUUGAGAAGAGAUUUUGAAGCCAAGGGCUUUGUUGUCAAACAAGUCCCUCAGCUCUCUUGUAGUCUAUCUGUUGCUUCCAUAGGCCUUGCACACAAAAAGUAUUUGAGGGGGACAAUAAAAUGUGUCAGCCAGUCCAUGUUAAAUCUUGGUGUCUUACAUCUACAUUUUAAGAACUAUGGUCAGCAUCAUGGGUGUGCAGUAGCUGAUUAGUAGAGGUCUUGUGUGUGCAGUAGCUCUUUACACAGGCCUAUAAGUCAUGAUCAUUCUACAUGAGAGUAAGUCAACACACCUAUUUUGAAUAUGUUUUAUGCAUACUUCACAAGUAUGAUCUUAUAUGCAGUCCAAAAAUCCGUGGCUUUUCACCUGGCAGAAUUUAGAAUGCUUCACACAAUACUGUAGACUAGAUGAUAGUUCUCUGUCAGACUGUAGGGAGAACACAAAACUUGUUUGUGACAACCAGAAAAUUGAUACCACUGAAAGAACCAAAGGUUCUGAUGACUGAAGCAUCUCAUCAUGAGAGUGAAAAAUGAAUUAGCUUGUCUAAUAGAUAUCUUUUCAUAAAAGAAUGGAUGGGUAAGAGAAAAUUGAAUUGUAGCUGGUCUGGAAGUUUGACACAAUCUUUUAAAGUACACAUAUUGACAGUGACAAAAAUAAACAAAGCACACAGUUAUACUGAGACAUUAUUCCUAAAUUCCAUUUGACAUUCUGUUCAUUUGGGUUUGACUCAAACGUUUAUGCUGAAGAAUUCAAAGUUUUUCUGAGCCUCAACACAUGUAUCUCAAACCUUCUUUGAAAAUUUAAUUAUCAGUGUUUGUGGGAUAAAGCUUAAAUGAGACUGUCA